UACGUAGGGUGCGAGCGUUAAUCGGAAUUACUGGGCGUAAAGCGUGCGCAGGCGGUGAUGUAAGACCGAUGUGAAAUCCCCCGGGCUUAACCUGGGAACUGCAUUGGUGACUGCAUUGCUGGAGUAUGGCAGAGGGGGGUGGAAUUCCACGUGUAGCAGUGAAAUGCGUAGAGAUGUGGAGGAACACCGAUGGCGAAGGCAGCCCCCUGGGCCAAUACUGACGCUCAUGCACGAAAGCGUGGGGAGCAAACAGG
rnacentral:rRNA from 1 species